rnacentral:lncRNA from 1 species
ACAAGCCAUUGCCAGAACUUGAGUCUCCAUCGACAGUUACAUCCGAGCUGAAAACUCAAGUUCAAAAACUAACGGAUGAAGCUUUGACACUUCCAGAACUUUGGUAAGUCAUCACGACCGCUGUCUCCUUCAUUCUGAGCACACAUACAGUUAAUCACCGAGGGGGCUGCUUGGGUGUAUAUUCUGCGUAAAAUUCUAGAGGAUGAGCAUUCCAAAUCCCUUUUGAUGGGCCCUCCCCUCAGCCUUAGCGUCACUCGCUACCCUACGAGCGAGGUGCUUAAUAAAACGAGGUAGUUCAGCGAAAAACUCGCGGUUUGAGGUCAAAAAUAUUUAUUUUCAAGUUUCGAUGCUAAAUUUACACUUUCUUGUCUCAAAAACUUCGAGUCGAAGUUUCAAACUGUAAUUUACAUUAUUAAUAAUGUUAUAAUCAUUUGAGGUGAAUCAUUCUAAUUUCAACAGUGAUUUUCUUGAAAUUGCCGUUUUAAUUUUCUCCUCAAACAAAAUUGUUCACGAAGUGUAAAUUUUAGGGGUGUUGGAAGUUCGUAGCACCUGAGGCUGCAAAAUUAAUUUUUUCACGCAGAGAUGUUGCAUCUCAUUUUUCUUUCUAAUCCUCAUGGCAUGUCUAGCCUAACUCUGUCACACAUUAUAAAAAUAUCAAUUAAGUGUAGCCAAGUAUCUUGCUUACAAUUUUCCUACAUUUACUGUUAGUUCUUUCCUCUAAUAUUCUAUACAAAAGUAUUUCUUAAUAAAAUAUUUUUCAAAUUACAGGAUGAAGAUUUCAUAUCAAAAAGUUCCGUGAACACGGUCAAUCUAGAUGGACAAACGUACGAGGACAUCUUGGCGAAAGCUAUCAUCAACAAAGUGGUUGAAAAAAGUCAAAGAGGACAAGGCAGCCCAACAGACAGUAAAAAUAACCUAGCUAUGACAGUAUCGCCUAACUUCAUUCGUAAAAGAAACAAGCUCCUAUCAAGUGACAGCUCUGACAUGAAUGGAACGAGUCAUUACAGUUGGAGCGAUUCUGCGCAGUCAGACCCUAUAUCUUUGAAGGUUGAAGAACACAUUGAAGAAGUGACUACGAGAUAUAGCUCUGAUGAUGAGGAAAAAUCAGACUUCGACAAUUUCUUAUCGAAUUUGAACUUCUUGAAAGGGCAGCGUGCGCCAUGCCCUGAAUUAGGUUGUGAUAUAGUGGAUGCGGGUGCUGCAUCCUCCUCGGAUGAUGACUGGUCGGAGAACGAUAGCACAGAUGGUUUGGACAUAGUUAAUCCAGUGGACUCAUGGGAAGAAAACUGGUUAUUCCAACGAAGAAGAUUAGCAAAAAAUAAUUCAUGUCAUCAGCCUGUGCCAGUCCCGAUGUUGGUGCCGAACCCAGCUCUCGAAUACAGGGCGCUGAUUGGGGAUGUCGAUGCAGAUGAGAUGUCAGACUUAUCUGAAUGCAGUGACUCUGUUUUGGAGCAACUGAUUGAUGAACCAAGGUACAGAAGUCCUAAUACCCAGAGUGCUCCUCCUGAGACUGAUGAGAUAGAGAAUGCAACUAGUAAUUUCAUCAGUAUAGAGCAAACUGUUAACAUCACAAUGAACUCUAAACCGACAGAAAGCUCUGAGACAACAAAAGGAAACGGUGAAAAACAACACGAAGCAUCAGAAGUGAUGACCAAAGAUAGUGUUUCGAACGAAAGCAGUAACACAAAGAAAGCCACAAAGUUGAAAAAUUCCGCUUACUCCUUGUCAAGAAGUUCACAUUCAAGUUCUGAGAGUGAUGAUGAAGACUCACCUUCAGGUGGAGAUAUAGUACAAGCGAAAAAUGAGAAUGUGUUAUUAUCACAACAUGAUUCCGAGGAUGAAUCCAUAGAUGCUGAGAUGCAGCAACGCGAUAGUGAAUACACGGUCGCAACUGUUGCACAGACACAUCCUGUACCUGAUUCCAAAUUCGGUGGAUUAAAGAAUGACGUACAGUCAUCCACAAAAAGUCGAGAUGAAGACUCUAGUGAUGAAGGUCCAACUCCUCGGCCAGGAACCAUUGCUGAGCGAGAACAUAAGAAGUGGGAAAAGGCAGUUCCGUUAGCUAAUAAUCCAUACUCUAAAGAAAAUAUUGACAAAAGACUUAAGAGUAAUUUCAUUCUCAGUAAUCGAGCGAACUGUGAUACACCCCUGGAAUUCAUCUCAGAACAAACCAUUCACGUAGGCAGCAAUUUACCUGACAUGAAAAGAUACAGCAGAGACUUUUACAUUAACACUGACGAAGAUCAAAAUGAGAGAACAUCAAAUCCGGAGUCAAAGAAUCCAAUUCCCGAAAGGAGAAUUUCUCAAGAGACAAAAACUUGUGAAGGCUCACAACAGGUUUCUGUGAGAGUGGAGGUGGAUGUGUGGCCUGCAGAAAAAAUAAUACAACACCAAUCUACGACAUCACCGGAUGAUUCGCCUCAAGUUUCCCCGAUCAUUCAAACGACUGUCAACAUGAACAAGAUGAAUGGAUGCCGGCAAGAAAAAGAGUUCGAGGUAGUCGAAAAACCAGGGGUGCGAAUCAGCUCUUGGGUCGAUAAUGAGAAGAAAACGGAUGAAUUGGACGAGUGCCACUCCUUGCCGUCGGUCAAGGAAUUAGCUAAACACUUCUCAACAGGGGAUAAAAAUGAGAAAAACCAUACGAUAGUGAAGCCGACGCCUGUUGUUCCAGCCAUUCCUAAAAUGUUUGAAAUGAAACACAACUACCCAUCAAAACAGCAAAGGAAAAAGCUGCCCUCAAAAACGACGUGAAUCUUCCUAACUUGGUAAGACUUUGCCAGAAAAAAAUUUAAAAAUGUAGUUGACACACAUUUUCCUAAAAGCUUUUAUUAGUAUUGCAUGGGUAGAGGUAUGAACAAUACCUUGUGUGAACAAUACCAAUACCUUCUUGUACUUUCAUUACAAAAAAUAUUAAAUAAAAAUCACUGUAAUCCACAAUAAUUAUCUUCCACUGAGUUGGUUAGUUAGCAGCCUCCUCUGAAGUAUCUUUUUCUUCACGCAUUCCCUUUAGAGACAGUAAAAAUAUUGGCACCUAUGAUGUGGAACCAUCUUAAAUUUCCAUUUGAUUGAAAAUAGUAAACUCCAUAAAUUCUUCGAGUUUUUAACUCAGUAAUAGCUAUCAAAAUUACUUG